AAUGAACGUUGGCGGCGUGGAUUAGGCAUGCAAGUCGAGCGGGUGCAGCAAUGCACCAGCGGCGCAAGGGUGAGUAAGGCGACGGCAACCAACCCCGAGGAUGGGUAUAGCCGCGGGAAACUGCGGGUAAUCCCCAGCGAUGCGAGGGCGUCGGCAUCGACGCUUCGCCAAAGGAUCCGUCCGCCUCGGGACGGGCCGUCGUGGUAUUAGGUCGUUGGCGGGGUAGCGGCCCACCAAGCCUUCGAUGCCUACCGGGCGUGCGAGCGCGGCCCGGCACACUGGGACGGAGACACUGCCCAGACUCCUACGGGAGGCUGCAGUCGAGAAUCUUCGGCAAUGGGCGCAAGCCUGACCGAGCGACGCCGCGUGGAGGACGAAGGCCUUCGGGUUGUAAACUCCUGUCGAGGGGGAGAAAGGCACCGCAAGGCGCUUGAUCGAUCCCUGGAGGAAGCACGGGCUAAGUUCGUGCCAGCAGCCGCAGUAAUAC
rnacentral:rRNA from 1 species